UAAUGUCCCUUCGCGAGAACAAAACAAAUUUUACGAUGGCUAAGUUCACUUUUGUUGCUAGGCACAACAGAGGUGGCAGUGCCGUGAAAGGGAAGAAAACGCUACAGCCAGCUGUGUUGUUCACAGUCGGGUAAUUUCUCUAUCGCUGUGAAUGGAUAUGGGGCCAGUAGCCUGUUGUGGCCAAGGACAGGAUGAUGGAUGAUCUACAUACUGUGCCCAAGUAGAAGAAGAAAGAAAGAAGUUCAAUGCACUGCUGUUAAAAUGCUAAUAUGGGUUAGUUAACAAAAGAGCACUGGAACAGGAAAGUUCGGAGGGACAGGCGCCCCUCAUGUUAUGUGUGUAUACUGGCCACUUGAUGGCUCUUCAUACUUACACAUUAAGGAUACAAUUUACUAGUCGCCCGGUUUCCACAACCUUAUUAUUAGCUGUACCAAGUCUUGUACAUAUGACACUGAAUCCAGAUCAUGACAAGCCUCCCGCAGCUUCUGGAAUUGGCGCUGGACCGUUAAAAUAUGAUUUUCCUCCAACAUUUCUCAGUGACAAGGAAAAAAAAAAAAAGAAAAGGAAAAGAAAAAAGUCUGAACACAAUUUCUUCUGAAGCAGAAAUUGGCACAGCUAUUCUCCCAUCCACAGGCAACAUGAUAAGAAUCUGUUCGGUGGAGGUUCAACACUGAUCAUGAGGUCCCCUGACACCUGAGAAAAGGAAGAGACAGCAUUUGACCUCCACUCUGUUCACUCGCAAUGGGACUUCCGUAGCGAUGUACUCAUCUACUUUAGGCAUCCCCAAAGCAGUACGUGGCAGCUGGGCUGUGUAUGUGAAGGACUGCAAGC